rnacentral:rRNA from 1 species
UACGUAGGAGACGAGCGUUGUCCGGAGUUACUGGGCGUAAAGGGCGCGCAGGCGGCUAUCCAAGUCAGGCGUGAAAGCCCCGGGCUUAACCUGGGAGGUGCGUCUGGGACUGGGUGGCUAGAGUUCGGGAGAGGAGAGUGGAAUUCCCAGUGUAGAGGUGAAAUUCGUAGAUAUUGGGAAGAACACCGGUGGCGAAGGCGGCUCUCUGGACCGAGACUGACGCUGAGGCGCGAAAGCGUGGGGAGCAAACAGG